UAUCUUGGUUGAGAAAGACACCAAAGGAUUUUACAUCAACCGCUUCAUUGGAAGCCAAUGUUGGGAGGACCACCAAUUUCCUAUUCAGAAAUAUAAAAGAAAAUGAUCAAGACUGGUACAAGUAGUUCUCGACUGACCACCACAAUUGGGAUAGAAUUCCAUUGCUUAUUGAGGUAGUUAUUAAGGAGAAGUCCCCGAAGCAAUCAGAUUUGUGAGAGGUAUGCUCACCCACUUUAUUGAAAGAGAAACAGCGGACAGAAGUAAAGUGCUGUUAUCUAGUGACUUCUCAUGAAGAUUGUGAAGGAAAAUGAACCAUAGAAAAUUCAUCAGACCAAAGCAAAGCCAGUGAAAAGAGCAGUAAUCUUUCUACAGUAUAAGCUACAUAUGCUUGUGGGGGUGUGUGUGUGAAAUGUAUUUCUGAAUAAAAAGAUGGUCAGCUUCUGCUCUCUGCUUCAAAUCACUCCAUUUCAAAGACACCUGCACAGUUUGGUUCAAUGUGUAGAAUGCAAUUCUUUGUCCCCAAGUGUCCGGGGCUCCAUGAUACUAUGAAAAGCACUGUUGUAAGAUAUAGAGACUUUUUCCUGAGGCCGCAUUGAGACAGAAACGUGUAAAAUGUGCCUUGCUACAGACUUUCCUCGUCUCUUCUCUUUGAGAGGACUGAGGAUUACUUGCAAACCCACCAUGAAUUUUCAACUUAUUA